rnacentral:SRP_RNA from 1 species
ACCUGACGAAGUGGUGCGUGCCUGUAGUCCCUGUACUUGAGAGGCUGAGAUGGGAGGAUCGCUUGGCUUGAGCCUAGGAGUUCUAGGCUGUAGUGUGCUAUGCUGAUCGGGUGUCUGCACUAAGUUUGGCAUCAAUAUGGUGACCUCCCAGGGACAGGGGACCACCAGGUUGCCUAAGGAGGGAUAAACCCGCCCAGGUCGGAAACGGAGCAGGUCAAAACUCCCGUGCUGCCCAGUAGUGGGAUCUCGCCUGUGAAUAGACACUGCACUCCAGCCUGGGCAACAUAGCAAGACCCCGUCUCU